CAUAAUAGAAUUUUUAGCAGCAGCAGCAGCAGCAGCAACCACCACAUCUAUGAUGAUGAUAAUCCAAACAAAAUACCAUAUAAUCAUAUAGAUUCAUUCGACCGGAUAUUACUAUCAUCAUCAUGAUGGUGGUUGUGUUAUAGCCAACUAUAAAGAUUUUUCUUUUCUCAUGUUCAUCAUUUUCUGUUUAUUGUUCAUGAAAUAUUUUUUUGUUGUUGUUGCUGGUUGGUUAUUACUGUUUUGAAUUGCAUCAGAUACGGACAUACUUAUAUUGUCGCUCCAUGCCACAUAAACAUUGAUAGUUUUUUUUACAUUCAUUAGAAUGCGUGAGAGAAUGAAAAUAUUCCUUUAUUGCCGAACGUAUCAAGUGAAUUGUUUUGUAUGAAUUUUUUUUUCUCAUCAAACGAAUCGAUUCUGUUUGUCGCAUUGUAUGACUGACUGACUGACUGACUUAAUGUUUUGCUGUUUACUACUAAUAAAAAAAAAAACAAAACAAAAUUCACCACAAACGUAUGUAUUUUAAAUGAUGAACAGUGUUUAUUUCACAAUCAACCAACCAUCACCCAAACAACCAUCACCACAACAAACAAACAAACAAACAAACAAGAACGGAAAAAACCUGGUGAAAUUCCAUCUUGCUGACAGACAAAACAAAACAUUCUUUGCUCAACAAAAAACAAA